rnacentral:rRNA from 1 species
GAUGAAUGCUGGCGGCAUGCCUAACACAUGCAAGUCGAGCGGUAACAGGUCUAGUUUACUAGAUGCUGACGAGCGGCGGACGGCUGAGUAACGCGUGGGAACGUGCCCCAAAGGGAGGAAUAACUGCCCGAAAGGGUGGCUAAUGCCGCAUAUGAUCUUCGGAUUAAAGUAUUUAUCCGCUUUGGGAGCGGCCUGCGUUAGAUUAGGUAGUUGGUAGGGUAAUGGCCUACCAAGCCGACGAUCUAUAGCUGGUCUGAGAGGAUGAUCAGCCAGACUGGGACUGAGACACGGCCCAGACUCCUACGGGAGGCAGCAGUGAGGAAUCUUCCACAAUGGGCGAAAGCCUGAUGGAGCAACGCCGCGUGAAGGAUGAAGGCCCUCGGGUUGUAAACUUCUUUUAUAAGUGAAGAAUAUGACGGUAACUUAUGAAUAAGCACCGGCUAACUACGUGCCAGCCGCCGCGGUAA